UGGGGAAUAUUGGACAAUGGGCGCAAGCCUGAUCCAGAAUGCCGCGUGUGUGAAGAAGGCCUUCGGGUUGUAAAGCACUUUUAUCAGGAGCGAAACGCUGUCGGCUAAUACCCGGCGGAACUGACGGUACCUGAGGAAUAAGCACCGGCUAACCUCGUGCCAGCAGCCGCGGUAAUACGAAGGGUGCAAGCGUUAAUCGGAAUUACUGGGCGUAAAGCGUGCGUAGGCGGUUUCUUAAGUCUGCUGUGAAAUCCCCGGGCUCAACCUGGGAAUGGCAGUGGAUACUGGGAGGCUAGAGUGUGUGCAGAGGGUGGUGGAAUUCCCGGUGUAGCGGUGAAAUGCGUAGAGAUCGGGAGGAACAUCAGUGGCGAAGGCGGCCACCUGGGACAACACUGACGCAUGAGGCACGAAAGCGUGGGGAGCAAACAGGAUUAGAUACCCUGGUAGUCCACGCCCUAAACGAUGCGAACUGGAUGUUGUCUCAACUCGGAGAUCAGUGUCGAAGCUAACGCGUUAAGUUCGCCGCCUGGGGAGUACGGUCGCAAGACUGGAAACUCAAAUGAAUUGACGGGGUCAUAGCUG
rnacentral:rRNA from 1 species